ACGCGUGCCUGACUGCAAAAGUGCAUUGUGAGUGACGUCAGCAGCAGGCAGCAGGCCAGCAGCAAUUUCAGCAAAUUGCAAAUCAUUGUUGGCUGACUGCAGCAGUAGUAGCACAUGUUCGACGAGCCAAACCCAAUGAAUAUAGUUGGUCACGAAUGUUUGAUCUUGAACAUAACUUACAACAUCAAUCAGCAUGUUUCAAUCAAAAUUGUACAGAAAAGAGUGGAAGUCUGUACCUGAACAAAUGUCAAAUCAUAUUUAUUGCAGAGAUGGCAAGUCAAUUUGAGUAACGUUAUCGUGUAUUCUACGUAAUUACGCAGUUUUACGUUAUCACGCAAUGACAUCACAAAGUCAUUUAGCAACUUUUAGCAACAAAUCAACCUUCCUCGAGCAACUUCCCCUGAAAAUUAGUUGGCAACACUGGUCCAGAGCAUGAGUGGUAUACAGCCCUACAGCUAAGUGGCUUGUGGGGCAGGUUCAGUCUGUUCAGCACCGUUGAUGUACUGGCUCAGCUCAUAGCUACUGGAGGACAGGCCUGACGCCUUGAAACUUGCCAGAGUCCCAGGAGCAUAACAGGAGGUCUGGAGGACAAGACCAGCCAAACCAAGAUAGGAGAAUGAGUGCGGAUGGGGAACAUCAUACAACCAAGUUCCUAAAAUAAGUAUUAAACAGAGUGGGAAAACAGCAACACAGAUCUGUACAGUAUCUUUGUUAGAAGAAAUUCAUAUAAUUUAUUGAUCAUAAUAUUUAAAUGUUUACCUCUGUACCAGCCUCGAACGGCCUUGCGGAAGGAAUAGCUACACUGUUUGUAUUCGGUCAUGUUUCCGGUCAUACAGCGUUCCUCAAUUGAGUUCCCUGAAUUCCUAUCGGACCUUGUAAUAGCAGAUAAUAUUCUAAUUUUUGGUGACUUUAAUAUUCACAUGGAAAAGUCCACAGACCCACUGCAAAAGGCUUUCGGAGCCAUCAUCGACUCAGUGGGUUUUGUCCAACAUGUCUCUGGACCUACUCACUAUCACAGUCAUACUCUGGACCAAGUUUUGUCUCAAGGAAUAAAUGUUGUGGACCUUAAUGUUUUUCCUCAUAAUCCUGGACUAUCGGACCACCAUUUUAUUAUGUUUGCAAUAACUGUAUCCAUUUCCAUGUUUUUCUUUAAGUUUAUGAGGAUUGUCAGGAUGGUCAGCACGUGCCACCUUGCGUCAAACACUGUUGACUGAAAAAUCAUGCAGUGGAGAAAAGAAACAGCACUGCUGCCUUACAUAUAGCCGGGCUGGUAUAAUAAAACCUCCAUAUUGGGAAAGGAAAAAGUUAGAGGACUGGUGGGA